rnacentral:rRNA from 1 species
GACCAAGGGUUCCUGUCCAACGUUAAUCGGGGCAGGGUGAGUCGACCCCUAAGGCGAGGCCGAAAGGCGUAGUCGAUGGGAAACAGGUUAAUAUUCCUGUACUUGGUGUUACUGCGAAGGGGGGACGGAGAAGGCUAUGUUGGCCGGGCGACGGUUGUCCCGGUUUAAGCGUGUAGGCUGGUUUUCCAGGCAAAUCCGGAAAAUCAAGGCUGAGGCGUGAUGACGAGGCACUACGGUGCUGAAGCAACAAAUGCCCUGCUUCCAGGAAAAGCCUCUAAGCAUCAGGUAACAUCAAAUCGUACCCCAAACCGACACAGGUGGUCAGGUAGAGAAUACCAAGGCGCUUGAGAGAACUCGGGUGAAGGAACUAGGCAAAAUGGUGCCGUAACUUCGGGAGAAGGCACGCUGAUAUGUAGGUGAAGCGACUUGCUCGUGGAGCUGAAAUCAGUCGAAGAUACCAGCUGGCUGCAACUGUUUAUUAAAAACACAGCACUGUGCAAACACGAAAGUGGACGUAUACGGUGUGACGCCUGCCCGGUGCCGGAAGGUUAAUUGAUGGGGUCAGCGCAAGCGAAGCUCUUGAUCGAAGCCCCGGUAAACGGCGGCCGUAACUAUAACGGUCCUAAGGUAGCGAAAUUCCUUGUCGGGUAAGUUCCGACCUGCACGAAUGGCGUAAUGAUGGCCAGGCUGUCUCCACCCGAGACUCAGUGAAAUUGAACUCGCUGUGAAGAUGCAGUGUACCCGCGGCAAGACGGAAAGACCCCGUGAACCUUUACUAUAGCUUGACACUGAACAUUGAGCCUUGAUGUGUAGGAUAGGUGGGAGGCUUUGAAGUGUGGACGCCAGUCUGCAUGGAGCCGGCCUUGAAAUACCACCCUUUAAUGUUUGAUGUUCUAACGUGGACCCGUAAUCCGGGUUGCGGACAGUGUCUGGUGGGUAGUUUGACUGGGGCGGUCUCCUCCUAAAGAGUAACGGAGGAGCACGAAGGUUGGCUAAUCCUGGUCGGACAUCAGGAGGUUAGUGCAAUGGCAUAAGCCAGCUUGACUGCGAGCGUGACGGCGCGAGCAGGUGCGAAAGCAGGUCAUAGUGAUCCGGUGGUUCUGAAUGGAAGGGCCAUCGCUCAACGGAUAAAAGGUACUCCGGGGAUAACAGGCUGAUACCGCCCAAGAGUUCAUAUCGACGGCGGUGUUUGGCACCUCGAUGUCGGCUCAUCACAUCCUGGGGCUGAAGUAGGUCCCAAGGGUAUGGCUGUUCGCCAUUUAAAGUGGUACGCGAGCUGGGUUUAGAACGUCGUGAGACAGUUCGGUCCCUAUCUGCCGUGGGCGCUGGAGAACUGAGGGGGGCUGCUCCUAGUACGAGAGGACCGGAGUGGACGCAUCACUGGUGUUCGGGUUGUCAUGCCAAUGGCACUGCCCGGUAGCUAAAUGCGGAAGAGAUAAGUGCUGAAAGCAUCUAAGCACGAAACUUGCCCCGAGAUGAGUUCUCCCUGACUCCUUGAGAGUCCUGAAGGAACGUUGAAGACGACGACGUUGAUAGGCCGGGUGUGUAAGCGCAGCGAUGCGUUGAGCUAACCGGUACUAAUGAACCGUGAGGCUUAACCUUACAACGCCGAAG